rnacentral:rRNA from 1 species
GACGAACGCUGGCGGCGUGCUUAACACAUGCAAGUCGAGCGGUAAGGCCCUUUCGGGGGUACACGAGCGGCGAACGGGUGAGUAACACGUGGGUGACCUGCCCUCAGCUCUGGGAUAAGCCUGGGAAACCGGGUCUAAUACCGGAUAUGACUCCAUGACGCAUGUUGUGGGGUGGAAAGCCUUGUGCGGCUGAGGAUGGGCCCGCGGCCUAUCAGCUUGUUGGUGGGGUGANGGCCUACCAAGGCGACGACGGGUAGCCGGCCUGAGAGGGCGACCGGCCACACUGGGACUGAGACACGGCCCAGACUCCUACGGGAGGCAGCAGUGGGGAAUCUUGCGCAAUGGGCGAAAGCCUGACGCAGCGACGCCGCGUGAGGGAUGACGGCCUCGGUUGUAAC